rnacentral:rRNA from 1 species
AUACGGGGGGGGCAAGCGUUGUUCGGAAUUACUGGGCGUAAAGGGCUCGUAGGUGGCCAAUUAAGUCAGACGUGAAAUCCCCAGGCUCAACUUGGGAACUGCGUCUGAUACUGGUUGGCUUGAAUUCGGGAGAGGGAUGCAGAAUUCCAGGUGUAGCGGUGAAAUGCGUAGAUAUCUGGAGGAACACCGGUGGCGAAGGCGGCAUCCUGGACCGACACUGACGCUGAUGCGCGAAAGCCAGGGGAGCAAACG